AUGAAGUUGUUCCACUUGCGGCGGAUCUUCUCAACAGGAAGACAGUGACCCUGCUCCUCCAACUCUUUCUGCACGCUCUGAAAGAGCUGCGAACGCUCCCGGGUCCCGUACAGGCUCCAGCGGCGCCCCACUACGUCGAUCAGUCUGAGUGGACAGCGGUACUCCGAGGUUCAGCAUCACUGGACAGCUGAGGUCUCAGAGAAUCCAACUCUGUGGAGAAUCCCUGAACAUAAAUCCAGUAAAGUUUAACCAGAAGUAAGACGUCUAGAGGCCUGGAAGGUAACAACUUACAUGAGAAGUUUGGAGAGUAACAUUCACUGUAUGAAAUGCAAUGUUAUCACCAUCAUUCUAUUUGAAUGGUUAUCACACACCAAUUUUGGCUGAUAGAAUGAAUGAAUAAAAUGACUAGAUAGAUGACAGUGAAUAAUGUACAUGCAUGGAAAGUAAGAUGGGUACAACUUGGUGUACAAGUCUGUAUGAAUGCUGUAUAGAAAGACCAGGGCAUGGUGAAUAUUCCCUGUUGUCUCAUAGUGAGAUAACAGUACAGACUUGAUGAAGGCUCGACUGGCUAUUGGAUGCAGCUGGAUGCUGAAUGUACUCUUGAACUCUCUCUCAACGAGAUCCUUCAAUCUUUCGCCCAUUUCACGGAACUCUGCAUUAUCCUUCAGGAAAAAAAGAAACACCGUUGUAUAGAAAACAUAAUAAACAAGCUAGAAAUGCAAUAAACACAACUCAUUUAUCCUGUGCAGCUUUGUUAUGGAUUAAACAAAGGCACAUUGUUAGUGUUAUUCAUGCAUUAACACAAGUAAAGUUGAUUAGCAUGUCCAACAUUUUUUUUCUCCAAAUUUUAGCCCAGAGGUUUCACAUUGGAUAUUGCAGUAGUGCAGUCUUACCCUGUUAAAUGUGGCACAGUUGGUGAAGAUAAGCAACACGUCAGACACAAAGUGUUGCACUGUUUUGUAGAGAUUCUGCUGCAGCUUCUCCACAACCCUGUCCAGCCAUGUAGGGGUCUUAAUCACACUGGUGUAGUUUCUCACCGGCAAUGAAACAUAUAGACAGAUGUGACACACACACAGAUACACACACGGACGGACACACAUACGAUCAGACGGAAGGACGGACAGAUAGAUAGACUGGUUGAUGAAUUGAUUGAUUGUUCGGCAGGCAAUUGGCCCAAUGAUAGCAUUCGUUCAUCAGGGAUCCUCACCAGUAGGUAGUCAGAGAUUCGGCAGAUCAGACCCACCUGGUAAGUCUUUUGACCGGUGUAACGCCACGACUGACUAGCCCUCAGUACACAGAAUGUACACAUCCACAUAAGAUUAUCACUGUUAUCACUUUUAGCUUGUCAAAGUAAAUACUCUGUCUCUUUCUAUCAUAACAUGUGUGAGUAUAGCCUUGCUUUUGAGAGGCUGUUGAAUUUUGGCAAAAGAAAGCAGAAAAUGCCUACAGUCAAGUCAGCAGAGGGCGCUAUAACAUGACAAAAACAGUGAGCAGCGAGCAGACAAAAUAUCUGAUGGUAGCAGAGAAAGGUUUUGUAAAGAAAUGACAGAUCAGAUAAGAACAGCAAAGUUCUCUAGCCCACUUGUUUACCAACAAUACCCAUUAAUCCAAUCAUUCCUCUGAUACUAAAGUACAUCCUACCUACCUGCUCUCUCAUUGGCUUCAGGGCUGAGCUGGUCCACUGCCUCAUUGGAUGACGACUUGUCAGAUAUAUAACCCUCACUCAAGUCUCUCUUGAUUGUGCAAGUCUGUUGAAAUGACACAAACUCUAAGUUUUGAGGAAUAGAUACCAGAUAUUUGGGUAGGAAGUGUUGGGAAUGGAAUGCUGUAGCGAGAUACCAGUGGAUUAAAGAGAUAUUGGCAGGUAAAUUGUGGAUGUUGAGUAGCCUAUUCAGUAAACAGGGAUUUUUAUUCUUAUUGAAUAAAAUCAAGUUGUGGUCACUGAUUCUCAGUUCUAUUUUUCAGGCAAAACAUUUGAUAGAUUCCUGUGUCCCUAAACAACUCCAAAUUAACAUGUAGAGGGCAGGGCACUAACCUUCUCUUCCACCCCCACACCUCCCAGUAUUUACCAGUGGUCAGUGUUGUGUAUUUAGUGGCCAAGAACACCAAUGCUAGGGCUGUGUCUCAAUAGCUUUAACUUGCUUCCUCUUCUCAUGUCCUUUCCUACCCAUGAAACCUACAGUUUCCACAGUAUCCAGUCCUUUGGCCUAUCAGUGGCAAUGAAUGAGAGGAGAAAGGAAACAAAGUAAUUGUACACUAGAGGAGGAAGAACAGGAAGAAUUUGACAAUCAUUUGACUAUAUUUCACAGAGGAAGCCAUUGACCAGUAUUGAAAUCCAGCCAGGGUAGAUCUGGUCAGGAAAGGAAGGGUCAGAUCAAAGUCCAGUCAGAGCAUAGAAUCAUCCACAUUAGGAUGGAUGAAAGGAGCGAGGACACUUAUCACAGCAUAUCAAGCUGCCCUGGCUCAUCAUCCUGAUUGUGCUGCCAAGACAGAGAAGAGAGGAAGCAGUCCGUUAUUUUUUAGGUGAACACAAGUUUGCAACUAUACUGGCAAUAACUGGGAACAUGGGCUGGGAACCCUGUGAGGUGAGAUGGAAGACAUGCAUGGUGAGACAUUGGAAUACACAUUUUUUAUCUUUUAUAAUAUAUAUAUUUUUAAAUAUUAAAACAUACAAUCAUACAUACCUGCAGUGAAGCUGCUCAACAUUUACAUUACAUUAAGUCAUCCAGCAGACUCCCAUCCAGAGUGACCCACAGGAGCAACCAGAGCCAAGGACAUGUCGACAGAUCUUCCAC